GAUGAAGAACGUAGUGAAAUGCGAUAAGUAGUGUGAAUUGCAGAAUUCAGUGAAUCAUCGAAUCUUUGAACGCACAUUGCGCCCCUUGGUAUUCCGAGGGGCAUGCCUGUUCGAGCGUCAUUAUAACCCCUCAAGCUCGGCUUGGUGUUGGGGCCUGCCGCACGGGCAGCCCUUAAAAUCAGUGGCGGUGCCAUCUGGCUCUAAGCGUAGUAAUUCUUCUCGCUAUAGAGUCCCGGUGGAUGCUUGCCAUUAACCCCCAAUUUCAAUGGUUGACCUCGGAUCAGGUAGGGAUACCCGCUGAACUUAAGCAUAUCAAUAAGCGGAGGA
rnacentral:misc_RNA from 1 species